CGAUGUAUAUCGCUUGAUUGGGAAGUGGCCGGCAGAGACCAGAUCUAGCAACUCAAGAACAAUUUUGGAAAAGUAUUUGAAACCUGCAGUCUCUAUUGCUGAGGAUGUGAAAAGUACAGAUAAGAAGGCCAUGGAAAAGAAAUGUCAUACCCAUUUUCAUCUUGCACACUAUACUGAUGCUCUAUUUAGGAGUCAUGAAGAAAGACUUGAUUCUAAUGGUGGAAGGAUCAAAGAGCAAAAUGUAGCUAAGUUUAUAUCAACACUAGCUGGUUGAAACAAUGAAAAACUAAUGGUCAUGGCGCAUGCUACUUCAAUAGACACUACACUACACUAGCUUUUGUUGCUGUUGUUAAUCAAAUUGGUGGUGAUGGCUAAGUCAUUUGUCCAAUUCAAUUUUAUUUUCAUA